CCCGAGUACCAGAAGAGGCCAAUGAGCAGGGCCCCCCCUCCUGAGGACCAUAAACAGUGACCCAGGCACAGAGGGAGUGUAGUGAAUUCCUGUACUUUAAUGUUGCCCUGGCAUCCGUUUUGAAUAUAAUCUGGACUUUCUUACAUUAGAAGCAGGGCUCAGUCAACCUUGACACUGUUUCCAGCUCCCUGCUUCCUCCCAGUUCCUCUAUGUGCUCAAUCCAGAUAUCUACCUUAGACAGUCAUCUCCCGGUGACUGCCUCCCUGUGGGACAGCUACAUACAGCCCACUUGACUGGUCCCGCUGACCCCACAGCCCGCAUGGACUGUUGCAGAUAGGCCAGUGACCCUCUCUCAGCCAUAGCGUGACCCUGCUUGCUCUAAACUCACCAAUUAUUUUAUUUUAUUUUAUUUUAUUUUAUUUUAUUUUAUUUAUUUAUUUUUGAGAUGGAGUCUCGCUCUGUCACCCAGGCUGGAGUGCAGUGGCGCAAUCCUGGCUCACUGCAAGCUCCGCCUCCCGGGUUCAAGCCAUUCUCCUGCCUCAGCCUCCUGAGUAGCUGGGACUACAGGUGCGCACCACCACGCCCAGCUAAUUUUUGUAUUUUUAGUAGAGACGGGGUUUCACAAUGUUUUCCAGGAUGGUCUCAAUCUCUUGACCUCGUGAUCCACCCGCCUCGGCCUCCCAAAGUACAGGCGUGAGCCACCGGCACCUGGCCUAAACCCAAUUAUUACUCCCCUCAGGAAACCUGCCUGGGUGACGCCCUGGACCCCAUAAAGGCCUUGGUCCCACAGGUCCCCUCUCUCUCUCACUCUCUACCUGCUACUUGAACACCCUGCUGUCUCCGGGAUUCCUGUUGGCCCUCAUCGGCGCUGGCUUCUCUCAUGGAUCUGCACCUUGCUUGCCUCACUCUAGUCCCAGCCUGACCUCAGGAGAAGGAUUGAGGAACCUAGUCCUCCCGCAGGCAGGAGGGGUAGAGCACCUUGGAACCAAACUCAGGAGUUUCUGGCUGGCUCCAAACAGAAGAGCCACAGGCCAACCCGGGUCCCCUCUUCCAAAGCCCACAGGAGCUCUCUUCUGAAAGGAUCUCCAGCCUUGGGUUUACCUCAUCAGAGGCUUGGCCUGUGGGACACUGCGGGAGAGGAUUGGGAGAAGAAAGAGGGGUGAGCCCUGUUGUCCUCUUCCAUGCCCUGACCCAGCAGCAUGGCUGGGGGAGGCGCUCUGGCCCUAAGCUUCACUUCCACCACGAAGCCUUCUCUGACUUACUCUCUGCAUCCUCGUCCCCAACCCACCUCAGUACUUAGUACAUGCCCCAGAAGAUAGACCUGACCCUCUGCGGCCUUGGAUCACCAGAGUUGUUUUCCUGGGCACACUUAGGCAUCCUGCCUCUCCCAUCAGACUACGUUACCCAGUCAGACGUGAUGCCCUGGAAUGUGCCCCCCAUCCAUCAGUGUCCCUCUCAGACUGCCACUUGGAGAGCAGGCUGUGUCUUCCCCUCAGUGUACCCCCCUUAGACUGAGCCCCUCCCCCUUGCCUGUGGGCCCCAUGGAAGGCUUUGUGGAGAAACCCCCUCCACCCAGUCUCUUUAACCACAGCCUCCCUCCCUACUUCUCAGGAAACCACAGGAGAAAGAACAGGAUGGGAUUUUAGAGAAGUGGCCAGGAGGCCCUGAAACUGCUAGUGAAGUGGCUGUGGCCAGGGGGCCCAGGGACCUGCCCAGCCUUGGGAUGGGGGUGUGUGGGGGGAGGGGGCAGUACCACAGACCCCCGUAUGGGCCACUGGGACAUGUAAGAGUUCAAGUCCUCCUUCUCCAGGAUAUAUUUCAGAGACAAUGAGGCUGAAUUCAGUACUUGCAGUACCGAAAAAAAAAAAUCUAACUUUACUUACAAAAACCCCAGAUCCAAAGCAACCCUAGAGCUGAUAUUAUAUAGGGUAUGGAAAGCAUGGCAUUCAGCAAUUCGCUGAUUUUCAAAAGUUGGACUGUGUGCAGAUUGGCUGACUUUCAGUCUUGGCAGUUAGGGAUUGGCUGACUUUCAGAAGCAAAUCACUGGAGUAAGACCCUUGCUGAUUGGCUGGCUCUCAGAAGCAUGGUCCCUGGAAUGAAGCUGUUGCUGAUUGGUUGGCUCUCAGGGGACUGAAGUAACGUGAUCAAUGACUGAUUGGACCAGGUUGAAAAUAAGUCUGUGUGACUUGUUCCUGGCUUCAGACUAGUUCUCAAAACAGUCCCCCACCCCCCGCCUUUUUACUUGCUUUUAAAAGACAGAGUCUGGCUCUGUCACCCAGGCUGGAGUGCAGUGGCACGAUCAUGGCUCACUGCAGCCUCAAACUCCUGGGCUCAAGCAGUCCUCCCAACUCGGCCUCCUGAGUAUAGUAGCUGGGACUGCAGGCAUGUGCCACCACACCCUGCUAAUUUAUGUAUUUUUGGUAGAGACAGGGUCUUGCUAUGUUGCCCAGGCUGGUCUUGAACUCCUGUCCUCAAGCAAUCCUCCAACCUUGGCCACCUCCCAAAAGGCUGGGACUACAGACUUGAGCCACUGAGCCUGGCCGCUCCCUUCCCUGCCCUUUUGUGAAUUUAGAGAAUAGAAACAUUUUGUUUUCACCUCCCCCACAUUCCUGGCUUUCCCUUUUCUGACCAGCCAAGCACUGAUCAUCUGUACCCACACUCCAGAAUUGUCCAGAAGUCAGUUUGCCCAGGCCUGGUCAUUCCAUCCUUCAAAAACUCUUUCAUGGAGACUGCAGCUCUAGAAAGCAGACCUGUGCCCUUCCUUUCUGGUGCUUGGCACACCCUCCUCAUCCCCUGUUUGAAUGGAUGAAUGAGUGAGUGAAUGAAUGAAUGAAUGGCUGUAAGGAGGUUACAUGGUAGAUUUGGCAGAACUAGUAUAAGCCAUAUCCUCCCUUCCUUUUCUGACCCCUGUAAAAUCCAGCCUCAGCAUUCCCCACUGAACCCCCCAACCUCUGCCCCCCCACACACAUAAGAAUGUGGACUGCCCACAGCUCACCAGUUCCUCUGGAACCAGUUUGAACCCCCUGUGACCCAGCAGGGCCCCCACUCCCCCUUGAGUGUUAAGAUUUUUGGAUUAGUUGGCUUGAACUGUUCUAGAAAACAACAGAGUACCUUUGAGAAAAACAAAAUGCAUUAAUUUGGGCCCUAGGUCAGAAAAACAAAUUUAUAUUUGGCUUUGAUCUGGGUUGAUUUUAGCCUUUGGCUAUCGAUCAGGAGAGUGAGAGGGUAGCAAGGGUUGUCUUUGCCCUAAAGUAAGAGACAUGGGUUUAAACCCUGCUCUGGCCAGAAUCAUGUAGGGAACUGGACCAGGCCUUCCUAUUUCUGUUCAUUUCAGCACACAUUUAAUGAGUACUUACUGUGUGUUAAGUAUGGUGUUGUACAGAUAGACUGCCCCAGCCCUCAAGGAGCUCAGUCUAGAGGGUAGAGAGAUAAGUGAGUAAAGGCUUACAGUUUAGAGGGAUCAGGGCUGUUAGGGAGGGGAGUGAGCAGGGGGGCUGUGUGAGCCCAGGAGAGGCACCAGAUUCAACUUAGAUUGAGAGGUGACAUCAGAAAGAUAUUAUGGGCCAACUCUGGGCACACUGCCUAUGAAUUCACCCUGCUUUGCAAGGAAUAGUAUGGUUAAUAAAAUUCUUUAAAAAAGAAAAAGAUGUUAUGGAAGUAUGUUACAUUAUUUGUAUGGCCCAGUGUAAAACGAAAGUGCAAGGCUUCUUAUUCAGAUUUCAAGAUGUCAGCAGCAGAGGAUUAAACUAAGCACAGGGCCCUACUGAGCACAGGGCUCUGUGUGACCUCACAGCUCUCAUCCCAUGAAGCCAGCCCUGCU
rnacentral:lncRNA from 10 species